rnacentral:tRNA from 2 species
AAGAGAGGUUUGGAACAUUAAGAACUGCUAAUUCUCAAUUUCCAUGGUUCAAAUCCAUGGCUCACUUA